rnacentral:lncRNA from 1 species
UCUGUUUCUACAUCCAGCGUCCACAUGGCUAGAUCGACGGGUCUAAACUCUUGGUGGGCUCCUCCACUACCUAAUUAAUUCCUCUUCUGCUCUAUCUUUUUUCCUUCCAAUUCAUCUAAGAAACUUUAAAUCAUUCAACUAUCUAAUGCCUAACAUCCAUGGAAAGAAGUGGUGUUGAAGUGUGAAACUCAAGCCGGCAACUGGAUAUCAAUUUGCCUACUUAUUUAUACCUUCAAAUAUUAGUUAAAGACUAAUUAAGUCACUGUUUCUUUUUUUUCUAUUCCUUAUUUAUACCUCCAAACAGUACACAAUGUCAGGAGUUGAACUAUAAAUGCAUGCUUAUGAUUAAUGGAUCACCCAAAAAAAUGGAGAAUUUAUUCAUUUGCAUUUUCAUGUUCUAUCUCAGAUGUAGCACAUUGUGUGUAUGAAUCAUGGUGAAUGUCAAGCCUACUUAGGUCAUACCCAAGUAAGGUCAGUAUAGAUGUAUAGUGCUUAUAAAAUGUGGUGCUCCAAUAUAACUUUGUUACUCAAUUGGGAAUUAUGUUUUUCUAUAGUUAAAGUGCAUGUGUGUUGCUGUGAUGUAUACAAGUGAAGGGGACCUUCUUGCUUUUCUUUUUCCCUUUUGUUUCUGUUUGAUGAUUACCCAUCCAUCCUGAUGCUUGAGUAUUUUCUAACCUCCCCUGUUUUAUUCUUUUGGUGCUACUUGGACGUUCCUAAUGUCAGUUUUUUUUUGUUUUCUUUCAGAAUACAGAAAGAAUAAGCUACUAGCAUUCCUAAUGUGCAAGUAAACCUACUGGGAUUACGACUGCAAAAACAAAUCAUGACAUGUGAGCAAUUCUCAAUUUAGAUACUGUGAGCUUAAACAACAAGAGCUAAACUGUUGUGCCAUGUUCAGAAUUGGUAAUAGAAAAGAUAAUCUCAACACACAUUCUGAAAUUAUCGAGGCUCCUGCCUUUGGGGAAUUAGGUUGCUAAGCAUUACUUUGUAAAUAAAUGACAUGCUAACUUCCUGGUUCAGUUUAAAGCUAUAGGCAGGGGCUUGCGGUAGGGGGGAUAUCAUUGUGGCAGUUGAAAACCAAAACCUUUAUUCAUGAGUGUAUGAUCUGGACUGCGCUUUUUCUGAAAGUAUGUUACGAUCCUCCUCUUGGGAGAUUAAGCUAUUGUGGUUUUGCUUGGUAAAUAAUUGGCAUGCUAAAACGUUGGUUGUUGUUUCAGUGGUGGGGACCAAUAAUAGAAAGAAGUUGCUUCCUUAGAUGGUUGGUUAGGUCGUGGGUGCAGCAAGGAAAGGGCCACCUGAUGACGGUUCUGGACUUGAGGUCUAAGAAAAAGUAUUGUUCAGUGUAGUGUUUUUCUGGUUUCUUGAUCAGUGUGUCAGAGGCCAUGAAUUCUUUUCAUGCUUGCAAAGUUUUUUUUGGAUUUUAUUUGAAAAGUAUACCCCGGUUGAGAGGCUAGGAGGGAUCUUGCUGAACAAAUAUACCUGACUUCAUGAAUGUCUGUACAGUUAGUCAGAGAUGAAAUGACAAGCAGCUCUCCUGCGUCGUUCGAGAAGAAAAGAAAACAAAAGAUGAGGAUUAUAUAAUCCCACUUUAUGCUUACAGUUAGUCCGAGAUUAAGUGAUUAUUUGUGCCGCGGUCGCUACAUCAAAUCAUCUAAAAUAAGCUACUAGCGUUUUUUCGAUCCAAGCUUUCUUGCUUAGAAUUAGAUAAUAUACACCUGCUUCAUAAAUAUUAUUGUUUCUGAGAGUGGCAUGAUCAUCAUGAAAUCAAUAAAUUAUAUACGCAUAUGUGCUUUACUAAAUAUUAUUCUCUCUGUAUACCUUCUUUAUUUUUAUUAGAGAAACAGUUGAGGUAGUAUACUCAGACUAAUGCAUUGCAGCUCUAAAUCUACCAUACAUGUGAAUAAGUUUGUUUAAAUCAUUUGCAUACUUAUCUUGUUUUUUAUUUCACGUAGAUGUUGAAGUAUGGCCUUGAAAGGUAAGUUGGAUGGCUGGAGAUGCUCAAAAGAUGUAACAAAGAGAGAAGAUAAGAGGGAGAGAGAGAAGGAGAAGAGGGAGUGCUCGAUUCGAUCUGCAAGAGAGAGAGAAG